rnacentral:rRNA from 1 species
CCCGAAACCCGGUGAUCUAGCCAUGGGCAGGUUGAAGGUUGGGUAACACUAACUGGAGGACCGAACCGACUAAUGUUGAAAAAUUAGCGGAUGACUUGUGGCUGGGGGUGAAAGGCCAAUCAAACCGGGAGAUAGCUGGUUCUCCCCGAAAGCUAUUUAGGUAGCGCCUCGUGAAUUCAUCUCCGGGGGUAGAGCACUGUUUCGGCAAGGGGGUCAUCCCGACUUACCAACCCGAUGCAAACUGCGAAUACCGGAGAAUGUUAUCACGGGAGACACACGGCGGGUGCUAACGUCCGUCGUGAAGAGGGAAACAACCCAGACCGCCAGCUAAGGUCCCAAAGUCAUGGUUAAGUGGGAAACGAUGUGGGAAGGCCCAGACAGCCAGGAUGUUGGCUUAGAAGCAGCCAUCAUUUAAAGAAAGCGUAAUAGCUCACUGGUCGAGUCGGCCUGCGCGGAAGAUGUAACGGGGCUAAACCAUGCACCGAAGCUGCGGCAGCGACGCUGAUGCGUUGUUGGGUAGGGGAGCGUUCUGUAAGCCUGCGAAGGUGUACUGUGAGGUAUGCUGGAGGUAUCAGAAGUGCGAAUGCUGACAUAAGUAACGAUAAAGCGGGUGAAAAGCCCGCUCGCCGGAAGACCAAGGGUUCCUGUCCAACGUUAAUCGGGGCAGGGUGAGUCGACCCCUAAGGCGAGGCCGAAAGGCGUAGUCGAUGGGAAACAGGUUAAUAUUCCUGUACUUGGUGUUACUGCGAAGGGGGGACGGAGAAGGCUAUGUUGGCCGGGCGACGGUUGUCCCGGUUUAAGCGUGUAGGCUGGUUUUCCAGGCAAAUCCGGAAAAUCAAGGCUGAGGCGUGAUGACGAGGCACUACGGUGCUGAAGCAACAAAUGCCCUGCUUCCAGGAAAAGCCUCUAAGCAUCAGGUAACAUCAAAUCGUACCCCAAACCGACACAGGUGGUCAGGUAGAGAAUACCAAGGCGCUUGAGAGAACUCGGGUGAAGGAACUAGGCAAAAUGGUGCCGUAACUUCGGGAGAAGGCACGCUGAUAUGUAGGUGAAGUCCCUCGCGGAUGGAGCUGAAAUCAGUCGAAGAUACCAGCUGGCUGCAACUGUUUAUUAAAAACACAGCACUGUGCAAACACGAAAGUGGACGUAUACGGUGUGACGCCUGCCCGGUGCCGGAAGGUUAAUUGAUGGGGUCAGCGCAAGCGAAGCUCUUGAUCGAAGCCCCGGUAAACGGCGGCCGUAACUAUAACGGUCCUAAGGUAGCGAAAUUCCUUGUCGGGUAAGUUCCGACCUGCACGAAUGGCGUAAUGAUGGCCAGGCUGUCUCCACCCGAGACUCAGUGAAAUUGAACUCGCUGUGAAGAUGCAGUGUACCCGCGGCAAGACGGAAAGACCCCGUGAACCUUUACUAUAGCUUGACACUGAACAUUGAGCCUUGAUGUGUAGGAUAGGUGGGAGGCUUUGAAGUGUGGACGCCAGUCUGCAUGGAGCCGACCUUGAAAUACCACCCUUUAAUGUUUGAUGUUCUAACGUUGACCCGUAAUCCGGGUUGCGGACAGUGUCUGGUGGGUAGUUUGACUGGGGCGGUCUCCUCCUAAAGAGUAACGGAGGAGCACGAAGGUUGGCUAAUCCUGGUCGGACAUCAGGAGGUUAGUGCAAUGGCAUAAGCCAGCUUGACUGCGAGCGUGACGGCGCGAGCAGGUGCGAAAGCAGGUCAUAGUGAUCCGGUGGUUCUGAAUGGAAGGGCCAUCGCUCAACGGAUAAAAGGUACUCCGGGGAUAACAGGCUGAUACCGCCCAAGAGUUCAUAUCGACGGCGGUGUUUGGCACCUCGAUGUCGGCUCAUCACAUCCUGGGGCUGAAGUAGGUCCCAAGGGUAUGGCUGUUCGCCAUUUAAAGUGGUACGCGAGCUGGGUUUAGAACGUCGUGAGACAGUUCGGUCCCUA